rnacentral:rRNA from 1 species
UACGUAGGGGGCAAGCGUUGUCCGGAAUCAUUGGGCGUAAAGCGCGUGUAGGCGGCCUUGUAAGUCCGUUCUGAAAGUCCGGGGCUCAACCCCGGGAGGCGGAUGGAUACUGCAAGGCUCGAGUCCGGAAGAGGCAAGUGGAAUUCCCGGUGUAGUGGUGGAAUGCGUAGAUAUCGGGAGGAACACCAGUGGCGAAGGCGGUUGCCUGGAGCUUUGCUGACGCUGAGGCGCGAAAGCGUGGGGAGCGAUCCGG